rnacentral:rRNA from 1 species
AUGCCUUCAGACGGCGGCGGAGGCGGCAGCGGAACGUUCGCACCCGGAGUAGAGGGCUCGCCGCCUUCCCUCUCCUCGACGAGGUUCUCCCCGCCGGCUUCUCCAGUCUGCCCCGUGAACUCCGGGGGCGGCGGCGUAGAGUUUAGCGGGGCAACAAGCAAGGCCGACUGGCGGCGUGCGGCUUCCUCAGCCUGCUGCUUCGUCGCGGCGGCGGCUUCGGCCUCCGCUAGUUUUUUCUUAGCGAAGGGCUUCUUCUUCGUUGCGCUUCUCCUGCGCAUUCCGCUCCGUCGCCUCCCUGAGGUCGGCAGCGGGGUCUAUUCGCCGAGUGGUGGCGGGUGUCUCCGCUGA